rnacentral:rRNA from 1 species
GAUGAACGCUGGCGGCGUGCUUAACACAUGCAAGUCGAACGGAAAGGCUCCUGCUUGCAGGGGUACUCGAGUGGCGAAAGGGUGAGUAACACGUGGGUGAUCUGCCCUGCACUUCGGGAUAAGCCUGGGAAACUGGGUCUAAUACCGGAUAGGACGAUGGUUUGGAUGCCAUUGUGGAAAGUUUUUCGGUGUGGGAUGAGCUCGCGGCCUAUCCGCUUGUUGGUGGGGUAAUGGCCUACCAAGGCGUCGACGGGUAGCCGGCCUGAGAGGGUGUACGGCCACAUUGGUACUGAGAUACGGCCCAGACUCCUACGGGAGGCAGCAGUGGGGAAUAUUGCACAAUAGGCGCAAGCCUGAUGCAGCGACGCCGCGUGAGGGAUGACGGCCUUCGGGUUAUAAACUCCUUUCGCUAGAGACGAAGCGCAAGUGACGGUACCUGGAGAAGAAGCACCGGCUAACUACGUG